AGCAGGGAGGUGAGAUGCGCCACCCGAGAGCGCGCAGUGGGGAAGCGCCCUGGCUGGCACUCAAACUGCAUGUCGAGGGUGGCGAGCAGACCGUCUGGGCUACCCGUCUCUCCGUUCCACCUCUCUGGGAGACUAAAGUGCGGCCCCUCUGUUGGUGGAGCGAGGGCUUGCUGCUGGAGAGCAUGGAGGGCUGUGGAUAAUUGUAGGAUGAGAUUGGUCUGGGAGUUUUGUUGUGGAGCCGAUCGAUCAGGGCGUGGAGCUGAAUGAGUUCAUUUUCCAUUUGCUCCGUCUUUCUGUUCAUGCGCUCGAACUCCGCUGGAUCUACGGACUCAAUCAUCCUGUCACGAUGGUCGACUGGGUACGGGAGUUGAGCUUGGUAAAGAUGUUUGAUAUCUGGAUUAUUCGGUAGAGAACUCUGAUCAGGGGUUUCAAUGAAACGAUGACUGAGUGAAGAGCCGGUGUGGCGUCUUCCAUAUAUAGGCUUGGGUGUGACUGGGAGAAUGCCGGGAGUUCCCGCGAGGAGCAUGCUGGGAAAUGUGGUCCAAGAUGGAGGCCGGUUAGCUGGGGGAGGCCGGUCUGGGGGCUUGGGUUCUGACACAUCCAUGUUUGCUGUCAUGAUGAGCCUAUGGUGAAGGAUUUUUUAAAUCUUGUUGACUCUUUUCAUCUGUCUCAGUUAGUUGACCACCCUACACAGGUAUGUGUGCAUUUCCUGGACCUUGUGUUGUCGUUUGGGGUAUCUGCUUCAUAUCUUCAGGUUGGGGAGGCCUUUUUGUGGGACCAUAGACCAUUUUAUUUAAUGUGUCUUUCCCCUGUCAGCCUGUGAUGCAGUGUCCUCCUGUGAAACUCUGCCAGGUGUUAAAGUCCUCUACGGCCACUGAGUUUUGUUCAGUGUUUGAGUUGGUGGGGCAGGGGCAAACUGCUGGGCCUAGUAGCACUGAGAAGCUUACUGCACAUUUUAACGCAACAUGCUCGAAGGUCUUAGAUAUUGUAGCGCCUGUGCAGGCUAAGAAACAUAAAUGUAAGAAGGAGCCAUUGCUAAAUAUGACAACACAGGACUUAAACAGGAAAUGUAGGAAGGCAGAGCGUAGGUGGAAGCGGGAUGGGCUUCAGAUCUCCCUGGACCCACUGAGCUGGGUAGCCUACCAGAAAGCUGUGAAAGAGGCGAGAAUUAAGUUCUUUGCUGACAUUUCCUCCAACUCACAGAAUCCUCGGAUUCUUUUUAACACUUUGGAUUCUAUUUUAAAUGCAAAUGAACCGCUGGCUAUUGAGUACACUACAGAAUCCUGCAAUAAUUUCCUCAACUUCUUUGUUGACAAAGUGGGGAGGACGAAGGCUUCGAUCACACCCUCCAAUUACCACCCUCCUCUUCGGGGUCCUGCCCCAGGGCUCCUGGAAAGCUUUUAUCCAACAUCUCUCAUAGAGUUGGAGAAGGUGGUCAAUAGUGUGAAACCAUCUGGUUGUGUAUUGGACGCAAUCCCUGCUAAACUUCUAAAAGAAAAAUUUCCAGCUGUGUCUCCUUAUGUUCUAGAAAUUAUAAAUAGCAGUCUACUAUCGGGUGAAGUUCCUAGCUCUUUUAAACAUGCAGUAGUGCGCCCUCUGCAGAAGAAAGCUGGCCUAGAUUUGUCGAAUAUAUCUAACUAUAGGCCUGCUUCCACACUGCCUUUCUUAGCUAAGGUCUUAGAAAAUCUUGUGUAUGCCCAAAUGAUAUCCUUUCUACAGAAAAAUGAGAUGCUAGAGAUUUUUUAGUCUAGGUUUAAGUCUCUCCAUAGUACAGAAUCAGCCCUGCUGAUGGUUUUGAAUCACAUCCUGAUGCCAAACAAUUCAGGGGAGGCUGUGGUUUUGGAGCUCUUGGACUUGACUGCGGCAUUUGACACCAUAGACCACAAUAUCCUGAUUGGUCGACUGGAGCACUGGGUGGGAAUAUCAGGCUUAGCACUCCAGUGGAUAAAAUCUUACCUGUCAGUUAGGAAUUUUUGUGUAAGACUGGGGGACUGUUCGUCUGAUACUGCUGAUUUGCAAUGAGGAGUGCCUCAGGGAUCAGUCCUGGCACCUCUCCUCUUUUCCCUCUAUCUGCUGGCGCUGGGUGACUUAUUUCAUCAGCACAAUGUCAAGUUUCACCUGUAUGCGGAUGACUGUCAAAUCUAUUUACCAGUAUCAUGCAAUAACUCAAGUUCUUUUAAACCACUCUUGGACUGCUUGGAGGAGGUCAAGUUAUGGAUGGCUCGGAAUUUAUUGUUCUACAACCAGAAUAAAACUGAUGCUAUCCUGUUCUGCCCAAAAUACAAACAUGGAUGUGCCCAAGGGAUUGACUCUCCUUCAUUAGCGCCUUUUGAGAAGGCUGUGGUCACCAACCUGGGGGUGAAGUUGGAUGUAGAGCUCACACUGGACAGCCAGGUCAAUGGAACAAUCAGAUCCUGCUAUUUCCAUCUCAGGAGAAUAGUCUAGAUUAAGCCGCUGCUAUCACGUAAACAUCUGGAAACUGUCAUCCACGCCUUCAUUACCACCAGACUGGACUACUGUAACUCGCUUUAUGCAGGCAUCAAGAAGGCCUUCAUAGCGAAACUGCAGAAGGUCCAAAAUGCAGCAGCCAUGCUACUAACUGGUACUAGGAGAUCUGAACACACCACGCCCAUCUUGGCAUCCCUACACUGGCUUCCAGUCACUUUUAGAAUUUCGUUGAAAGUUCUGGUGUUUGUUUUUAAAUGUUUAAAUGAGUUGGCUCCACGAUAUCUAACAGAUCUGAUCCAUCCUUAUGUUCCCUCUAGGAACCUUUGGUCAACACAACAAGGACUGUCGGUUGUUCCUUUACACAGAGUACAAUCUCGAGGGGGUCGUGCUUUCUCGGUGCUGGGGCCGAGGCUCUGGAAUGAGCUACCUACAUGUGUUAAACAGGCCACCACGCUCUGCAAGUUUAAGAGCCAGCAGGAUAAUGCACCAUGUCACAACGCUCAGAUCAUCUCUCACUGACAACAUGACCAUGAGUUCACUGGACUCCAACGGCUUCCACAGUCACCAGAUCUCAGUCCAGUCCAGAACCUUUGGGACGAAGUGGAACGGGAGGCUCUCUUCAUGGAUGGAGCUGAUGAUGUCAUGUCAGGAUGGACCAGAACCUCUGUGUCAUGACUCGAGGUAAGUGUCUAACCCAAGACAUGCAGAAUCAACUCGACGAGUUGGUUGAGUUAAAGAAAAGUACUUUAUUUGGAAACGGGAACAGAAGUAGCACUGGGAAGUCCAGUGGGGAUUGAGCUGUACAGCUCUUGUCCAAGUAGCAUUUGCGGUGAACGAGGGAGGCGGGGAAGCCGAGGUGAGCGCUGGGCAGAGGAUGAGCGAUCCGGGAUGGGUGAGGUAGCAGAGAGGGUCCAGACAGGAACAAUGGAGGAGGAUGGGACGUGGUGCAGGUAAUUCGGAGUUCAAGCGGCGAGGGUGAUGCAGGGUGUGUAGAGAUCCUGAGGAAGGCAAACAAACACCAGACGUGAGAGUAAUCCAAAAGCGUAAUCCAAAAACAGUCCAAGUUCAAAAUCUAAAUAUUCCAAGACAAGUCUAAAGCGAAAAAACAAGCAACGAGUACGUGUGGCUGGGGCUACCUAAACUGGAGCAGUCAUCCAGCGUAGUGAGGUGUCUCCAUCCUCCUUUUAUAUCCGAGUUCAUGAUGGGAAAUCUUAUGCAGCUGUAGCCCCCUCCGCUCCUCACCGGUGGGUAAUCAGGUCAGAGAUGGUUAGGUUGAUGAGGAGCACUCACCUCGGCUCGGGAACAUGACACUCUGAGGACCAGAACCUCUGAGAGAGGUUUAAAACACCUAUUAUGAUAUGACAUCAGGAAUUAAGUUGCUUCUGAAGGCAAAAACUGGCCCAACCAAGUACUAGAAUUGUGUACCUAAUAAAAGGGCCACUGAGUGUUUAUUAAUACAUUAAUUGAUAUUCUAUCACUUCUGCAGAACAACACACAUGCUCACACACACAUACACACACUCACACACUUAUCCAUUCUCAGGAUUUCUUUGGCUAUCGAUUUCCUCUCUUCAAUAACUAAUGCUUCUCCUGACCUUGCUACCUCCUGAGAAGAGCUUUUCCACAUUAGACUGAAGGGCUGGAAUGAAGCGUCAACAGCUGAUUGGGAACAAACUGCCUCACAGAAGCAAUUAAAGCUACAAAUAUCAAUGAGGAGUUUAAAGCCUUUUCUCAGCUUUGUGGAGGGCUGGCUUUGAAAUAGUUUUAUCUCACCUGGAGUGCUAAAGAUGACCUCAAUUUUCUAAAAGUGGGACCAACUUAAAAGGCUGUUUUGAACUUUGUAGAUGUUAUAAAUAAUUAUUUUCUGCAAUGGUUAAGAGAAAGCCUUCUACCUCCAACAAGACUGAGAAGAUAAAGGUUUGAGUACAGCCAAGACCGGCGAUCGCUAGGAUCGAAUUUAAUAGAAUUAAAUUCAUUUUUAUAAAACUAAAUACUUGACUCUGUCUGAAUUAAUAUGAAGUGUGUGUUUCCCUGAAUAGUGAAAGAACCCAGAGUAAUACAGUAUUAAAUAAAACAUUCAAAGACCAGUCAGAUUGCUAAUUUAGAUUUAUAUCGUGUUGGUCAUUAAAUAAAUAUAGCAACUUCUCACCGCUACAGCAUCAUGAUUAUUUACAUGAGUAAGUCACCAGCAGCAUGUAGUAAUUCCUGUGCACCUAGUAGCCAAUGGCAGCAUAAUUCUAGUACUGCUGAUGCUGUUAGAUGGCAGCAGGACUCUUUGUUCUUGCUGUUGAAUUAGCCUUCAGGCUAAGCCAUCUAUCAGGGAGGAAAACCAACUAUGUUGAGCUGUGCAAUUAUUUUUCUUUUGUUUUCUUUUUAUUGCAGCACUCAAUGUAAUAAAUAAAAAAUGUUAAUGUGGAACCCUUUUUUCCUUUUCAGUCUGACUUUUCUGAGCACAAAAUCAAUGUGCAUGUUCUGAUGCCUGUACAAGUAAAGAUGGCAGAAUGAGGGCAAAACACACACAACUGUGCUUUACUUUAUUUUCCAAUAAGGCCCCCCACACACACUUUCCAAGCACUGAGCCUGAUGAAACACAGAACUAUGCACACCAACUGGCUCUUCUCUUGUUGUAUAGCUCCACGGUUUGUGUCUAUGUCAUUCAUGAGACAGAUUGGAUCAUACAGAACAUCUAGUUUAAUUAAUGUAUGUACAAGUGUUUAAACUGUCUGAAUGUUACAAUUUUAUGUUUCUGACUCUUAUUUAAAAUGAGCCUCAUAAAUGUCAGAAGUCAUGUGACCAUUUGGCUGCCCAUAAAAGCACAAUAAUCUACUCACUUGUUUGUGAUAAAGCUUCCUAGAUUCAUAAGUUCAUCAAGGUUAAAGCCCCAACAGAUGACAUGCUCAGUGAAUGUCUCAGCCAAUGGCAAACAGAGGAGGAGAUGCUGGAGAUAUCAUCGAAGGAGGACAAAGCCCAACAUGGGAUGUAGCACAGACUGAUCACUAAAGUGGCUGACAUCAAGAAAUCCUACCAAUGGCUAGAAAGAGCUGGUCUGAAGGACAGCACAGGAGCAGACCCUGAACACCAGAGCAACAGAGGCCAAGAUCUACCACACCAGACAAGACUCAAGGUGUAGGCUAUGUAAAGAGGCCCCUGAGACAAUCCACCACAUAACUGCUGGGUGUCAGAUGCUGGCAGGGAAAGCUUACAUGGAACGCCACAACAAAGUGGCUGGUAUUGUGUACAGGAACAUCUGUGCAGAGUAUGUGUAACAGAGGUGUUCUGUUGAUACUUAUAAUUCACCGAAAGUUCAUCCUCAGUCAUUGUGUUCAUUUUAUCAAGCUGUUUAACUGCCUCGAUAUUUAUUUUAUGUGUUUUUGUAUUUUAUUUUGAAAAACGCUUCAUUUCGGCAACUUCCGGUAUUGCGGCCACUUCCUGUGGUUUUCCCGGUACUCUCCUCAGACGGCGGGAGACCAUCCUGAGGAGAGAGGUGUGUGUCAUAACCAGUCCAGGUGCUGUACUGAUGUUAUUUUAUUUUGCACAGCUGACACCAAAUAAAUCUUGCUCCAGUGGUGAA